GUUGGGUAGGGGAGCGUUCUGUAAGCCUGCGAAGGUGGCCUGUGAGGGUUGCUGGAGGUAUCAGAAGUGCGAAUGCUGACAUAAGUAACGAUAAUGCGGGUGAAAAACCCGCACGCCGGAAGACCAAGGGUUCCUGUCCAACGUUAAUCGGGGCAGGGUGAGUCGACCCCUAAGGCGAGGCCGAAAGGCGUAGUCGAUGGGAAACAGGUUAAUAUUCCUGUACCUGGUGUUACUGCGAAGGGGGGACGGAGAAGGCUAUGUUGGCCGGGCGACGGUUGUCCCGGUUUAAGCGUGUAGGCUGGUUUUCCAGGCAAAUCCGGAAAAUCAAGGCUGAGGCGUGACGACGAGGCACUACGGUGCUGAAGCAACAAAUGCCCUGCUUCCAGGAAAAGCCUCUAAGCCUCAGGUAACAUCAGAUCGUACCCGAAACCGACACAGGUGGUCAGGUAGAGAAUACCAAGGCGCUUGAGAGAACCCGGGUGAAGGAACUAGGCAAAAUGGUGCCGUAACUUCGGGAGAAGGCACGCUGACACGUAGGUGAAGCGGUUUACCCGUGGAGCUGAAGUCAGUCGAAGAUACCAGCUGGCUGCAACUGUUUAUUAAAAACACAGCACUGUGCAAACACGAAAGUGGACGUAUACGGUGUGACGCCUGCCCGGUGCCGGAAGGUUAAUUGAUGGGGUCAGCGCAAGCGAAGCUCCUGAUCGAAGCCCCGGUAAACGGCGGCCGUAACUAUAACGGUCCUAAGGUAGCGAAAUUCCUUGUCGGGUAAGUUCCGACCUGCACGAAUGGCGUAAUGAUGGCCAGGCUGUCUCCACCCGGGACUCAGUGAAAUUGAACUCGCUGUGAAGAUGCAGUGUACCCGCGGCAAGACGGAAAGACCCCGUGAACCUUUACUAUAGCUUGACACUGAACACUGGUCCUUGAUGUGCAGGAUAGGUGGGAGGCUUUGAAGUGUGGACGCCAGUCUGCAUGGAGCCGUCCUUGAAAUACCACCCUUUAAUGGCUGGUGUUCUAACGUAGACCCGUGAACCGGGUUGCGGACAGUGUCUGGUGGGUAGUUUGACUGGGGCGGUCUCCUCCUAAAGCGUAACGGAGGAGCACGAAGGUUGGCUAAUCCUGGUCGGACAUCAGGAGGUUAGUGCAAUGGCAUAAGCCAGCUUGACUGCGAGCGUGACGGCGCGAGCAGGUGCGAAAGCAGGUCAUAGUGAUCCGGUGGUUCUGAAUGGAAGGGCCAUCGCUCAACGGAUAAAAGGUACUCCGGGGAUAACAGGCUGAUACCGCCCAAGAGUUCAUAUCGACGGCGGUGUUUGGCACCUCGAUGUCGGCUCAUCACAUCCUGGGGCUGAAGUAGGUCCCAAGGGUAUGGCUGUUCGCCAUUUAAAGUGGUACGCGAGCUGGGUUUAGAACGUCGUGAGACAGUUCGGUCCCUAUCUGCCGUGGGCGCUGGAGAACUGAGGGGGGCUGCUCCUAGUACGAGAGGACCGGAGUGGACGCAUCACUGGUGUUCGGGUUGUCAUGCCAAUGGCACUGCCCGGUAGCUAAAUGCGGAAGAGAUAAGUGCUGAAAGCAUCUAAGCACGAAACUUGCCCCGAGAUGAGUUCUCCCUGAGACUACAGUCUCCUGAAGGAACGUUGAAGACGACGACGUUGAUAGGCCGGGUGUGUAAGCGCAGCGAUGCGUUGAGCUAACCGGUACUAAUGAACCGUGAGGCUUAACCUUACAACGCCGAAG
rnacentral:rRNA from 1 species